rnacentral:rRNA from 1 species
CGGGUGAGUAACACGUGGAUAACCUACCUAUAAGACUGGGAUAACUUCGGGAAACCGGAGCUAAUACCGGAUAAUAUAUUGAACCGCAUGGUUCAAUAGUGAAAGACGGUUUUGCUGUCACUUAUAGAUGGAUCCGCGCCGCAUUAGCUAGUUGGUAAGGUAACGGCUUACCAAGGCAACGAUGCGUAGCCGACCUGAGAGGGUGAUCGGCCACACUGGAACUGAGACACGGUCCAGACUCCUACGGGAGGCAGCAGUAGGGAAUCUUCCGCAAUGGGCGAAAGCCUGACGGAGCAACGCCGCGUGAGUGAUGAAGGUCUUCGGAUCGUAAAACUCUGUUAUUAGGGAAGAACAAAUGUGUAAGUAACUAUGCACGUCUUGACGGUACCUAAUCAGAAAGCCACGGCUAACUACGUGCCAGCAGCCGCGGUAAUACGUAGGUGGCAAGCGUUAUCCGGAAUUAUUGGGCGUAAAGCGCGCGUAGGCGGUUUUUUAAGUCUGAUGUGAAAGCCCACGGCUCAACCGUGGAGGGUCAUUGGAAACUGGAAAACUUGAGUGCAGAAGAGGAAAGUGGAAUUCCAUGUGUAGCGGUGAAAUGCGCAGAGAUAUGGAGGAACACCAGUGGCGAAGGCGACUUUCUGGUCUGUAACUGACGCUGAUGUGCGAAAGCGUGGGGAUCAAACAGGAUUAGAUACCCUGGUAGUCCACGCCGUAAACGAUGAGUGCUAGGUGUUAGGGGGUUUCCGCCCCUUAGUGCUGCAGCUAACGCAUUAAGCACUCCGCCUGGGGAGUACGACCGCAA